rnacentral:misc_RNA from 1 species
GAAAAAUUAAAAAUAAAAAAAAAAUUGAAACAAUUUGUUAUUUUAUUUAUGAAAAUGAAACAAAUAUUGCAUAGUUAGAGGAGGUUGCUCAUCAAUCAGGAACUAGUUCAGAUUGCACAAAACUCCUAGCUACCCGCAAUUUGUAGUCUGUAGUACAAAGAUAUGGGAACUCUGUUAUUUUGACCGUUGGUUGGCAGUAAGCUAAACUUGAUUAGGUAAGUUGGAAUCUGAAAUUGUGGUUAGUUUUGCUAUGCACGUUCUGAUAUUGCGAGGGCAAAAAUUAUCCGCUUGCAGGUCCAUUAUUCUACAUGGGAUGGUACCAUCUAUUCUACCAAUACAACCCUGAUUCAGCUGUGUGGGGCAACAUCACGUGGGGCCAUGCUGUAUCAAGGGA